rnacentral:lncRNA from 1 species
GGAGAGCAAUCCAUCUUUGUUCUGUCAAGGCCUUAAGCUGAUUGGAUGAGUCCUACUACAAGUAUGGGCAGUAAUCUACUUAACUCAAAAUCCACUAAAAAGAAUAUUACUAUAAUUCAAAGAAUACCCUCCUAGACUUUCCAGAAUAUGUGACCAAUGUUUGUUUAUUUGUUUGUUUGUUUUAAUUUUUUAUUGUUGGUUGUUCAAAACAUUACAUAGUUCUUGACAUAUCACAUUUCACACUUUGAUUCAAGUGGGUUAUGAACUCCCAUUUUUACCCCAUAUACAGAUUGCAGAAUCACAUCAGUUACACAUCCAUUCAAUGUUUUGUAUCACGACCCAGUCAAGUUGAAACAUAAAAUCAACCAUCACAUCCAUCACAUUGAAUUUAUGCAUUAUAAAACACAAACUCUUUUUUGAACAUUUUGAUAAAAGACACACAAGUUGUAGCAUCAGUCAUAAUUAUGUCAUUGCUAAACAUUAGGGGAAAUAUAUUAAGUAGUUCAAAGAGAAAGUAUGGAAAAUAAAAGAAAAUACAUUCAAGAAACUGAAUUAUGUUAACUAUAUACUUAAACUUACAUAAGUCUUUCAAAAUUAAAAAAAAUUUAUGAUGGAAAUUAUAGAAUAUCUAAAAAUGCUAACAUAUAAGGACAGAAAUUAAGUUGUAUUGGAGAUAAUUAGACUCUAGAUUUAAAAUAGUUAACAUCUUUUGAACAAACAACUUAAAAUUUCUGAAAUGAAAUAUAUUUUCUUUCCUUUUGAAAUCCAUUUAUUUUCUAUUUGUUCAUGUGUUUAAAUGAUAGAUUAAUUAGAUUUAACUUAUUAGCAAAAAAUUGGGAAUAAAAGUAGAUAAACACCAAUAUAGAUGUGCUCUAUGUAGAACCAUUAGAGAUAUUUUUUAAGAAAGAUCAAUACUGAAAAAGAAAAGCCUAGUUGAAAUCAUCUUACUUUCCAAUUUAAAAUUAUAAUAUAAAGUUAUAGCGACAAAAAUUAUAUAGAACUUGUAGAAAGCAAAAACAUAGACCACUGGAAGAGAAGAAAAACACAGAAACAAGUUCAAGGAUAUAUAGUCAACUAAUUUUUGACAAGGGCAUCAAGAGGACACAGUGGAGAAGGUAAUCUCUGGAAUGUCUGUUGUGGGAGAACUGGAUUUUCAUAUGCUUAAGAAUGAAGUUGGGACUUUAUCUUACACCAUGUACAAAAACCAACUCAAAAUGUAUAAAACAAACAAACAAACAACAACAACAACAAACCUAAACAUAGAUCCUGAAUCCCUAAAACUCCUAGAGGAGAACAAAGGGGGAAAGCCCUUGACAUUGGCCUUAGCAAUGAUUUCUUGAAUAUUACACUGAAAUUUCAGAUCAGAAAAUCUGAAUAAAUAAAUAAAUCAGACCACAACAAACUGAAACAUCCUGCAUAGUCAAUGAACCACUGAACUUACAAGUUGGGGAAACUAUUUGCACAUCGCAUAUCUAAUACAGGGUUGCUAUUCAAAAUGUAAAAAAAAACCUUCUAAAAUUCAAUAGCAGAAAAACAAGCCCCAUUAAAAAUAUUUGAAGGAUAUGGAAUUGUCUCCAAAGAAGACAUAAAAAUGCCCAAAGGAUAUUUAAAAAGAAGCUCAAUACCACCUCUCAUCAGGAAAGUAAAAAUCAAAACCACUCUAAGAUAUUUUGCCUCAUCAACUAGAAUAGCUAUAACCAGAAAGACUAGAAAUAACUAUCAGCAAAUGUGCAGGGAAGAGGAAACCCCAGGACACUGCUGAAUGGUUCUGUCCCUGUGGUCAAUGGAAUGGAGGCUCCUGAAACAAUUCAAAACAGAACUAAGAGAUCCAGCAAUUCCUCCUUUUGGAGUACAUGGUGCCAAGUGAAAUACCCCAGCAGAAAGAAACAAAAAUGCUGCAUGUUUUCACUUACAUGUGGAAUAUAAG